rnacentral:rRNA from 1 species
CGGCGAGUGAAGCGGCAAAAGCUCAAAUUUGAAAUCUGGCGCAAGCCCGAGUUGUAAUUUGAAGACUGCUCUUUGGGCCCGGCUCUUGUCUAUGUUCCUUGGAACAGGACGUCACAGAGGGUGAGAAUCCCGUGCGAUGAGAAGCCCGGGCCUGUGUAAAGUGCUGUCGACGAGUCGAGUUGUUUGGGAAUGCAGCUCUAAGUGGGUGGUAAAUUCCAUCUAAAGCUAAAUAUUGGCGAGAGACCGAUAGCGAACAAGUACAGUGAUGGAAAGAUGAAAAGAACUUUGAAAAGAGAGUGAAAAAGUACGUGAAAUUGUUGAAAGGGAAGGGCUUGAGAUCAGACUUGGUUGUGUGCUUUUUUGCCCCCACUUGGCCCACCUUCGGUCCGGGGGGAAGGACAAGCCCACCGAAUGGGGGUUCUCCCUCGGGGAAGGGUUAUACCCCUUGUUCCACCGGCCACCCGGAACCAAGAACGGCCCUUCUGCAAGGAUGCUGGCUAAUGGAUCCCAACCCCCCC